GACGAACGCUGGCGGCGUGCUUAACACAUGCAAGUCGAACGGAAAGGCCCCUUUGGGGGUACUCGAGUGGCGAACGGGUGAGUAACACGUGAGUAACCUGCCCUUUACUUCGGGAUAACUUCAGGAAACUGGGGCUAAUACCGGAUAGGAAUCCUUGCUGCAUGGGGGGGGUGGGAAAGCUUCGGCGGUUUUGGAUGGACUCGCGGCGUAUCAGCUUGUUGGUGGGGUAGUGGCUUACCAAGGCGUUGAGGGGUAGCCGGCCUGUGAGGGUGACCGGCCGCACUGGGACUGAGAGACGGCACAGGCGGCGACGGGAGGACGCAGUGGGGAAGCUUGAACCAGGCGUGGCAGGCGGAUGCAGAAAGGCCUCGUGCGGGAUGACGGCUUUGGGGUUGGAAAAAGCUUUCAGCAGGGGAGAAGGUUGUGGUGACGGUACCUGAAGAAGAAGCACCGGCUAACUACGUG
rnacentral:rRNA from 1 species